GGCCUAUUAGCUCAGCUGGUUAGAGCGUCGUGCGGUCACAGGUUCGAGACCUGUAUGGGCCA
rnacentral:tRNA from 1 species